UACGUAGGUGGCAAGCGUUGUCCGGAAUUAUUGGGCGUAAAGCGCGCGCAGGCGGUUCUUUAAGUCCGAUGUGAAAGCCCACGGCUCAACCGUGGAGGGUCAUUGGAAACUGGGGAACUUGAGUACAGAAGAGGAAAGCGGAAUUCCACGUGUGGCGGUGAAAUGCGUAGAGAUGUGGAGGAACACCAGUGGCGAAGGCGGCUUUCUGGUCUGUAACUGACGCUGAGGCGCGAAAGCGUGGGGAGCAAACAGG
rnacentral:rRNA from 1 species